rnacentral:rRNA from 1 species
GAGUUUGAUCAUGGCUCAGGAUGAACGCUGGCGGCGUGCCUAACACAUGCAAGUCGAGCGAUCUUCUUCGGAAGAGAGCGGCGGACGGGUGAGUAACGCGUGGGUAACCUGCCCUGUACACACGGAUAACAUACCGAAAGGUAUGCUAAUACGAGAUAAUAUGCUUUUAUCGCAUGGUAGAAGUAUCAAAGCUUUUGCGGUACAGGAUGGACCCGCGUCUGAUUAGCUAGUUGGUGAGGUAACGGCUCACCAAGGCGACGAUCAGUAGCCGACCUGAGAGGGUGAUCGGCCACAUUGGAACUGAGACACGGUCCAAACUCCUACGGGAGGCAGCAGUGGGGAAUAUUGCACAAUGGGCGAAAGCCUGAUGCAGCAACGCCGCGUGAGCGAUGAAGGCCUUCGGGUCGUAAAGCUCUGUCCUCAAGGAAGAUAAUGACGGUACUUGAGGAGGAAGCCCCGGCUAACUACGUGCCAGCAGCCGCGGUAAUACGUAGGGGGCUAGCGUUAUCCGGAAUUACUGGGCGUAAAGGGUGCGUAGGUGGUUUCUUAAGUCAGAGGUGAAAGGCUACGGCUCAACCGUAGUAAGCCUUUGAAACUGGGAAACUUGAGUGCAGGAGAGGAGAGUGGAAUUCCUAGUGUAGCGGUGAAAUGCGUAGAUAUUAGGAGGAACACCAGUUGCGAAGGCGGCUCUCUGGACUGUAACUGACACUGAGGCACGAAAGCGUGGGGAGCAAACAGGAUUAGAUACCCUGGUAGUCCACGCCGUAAACGAUGAGUACUAGCUGUCGGAGGUUACCCCCUUCGGUGGCGCAGCUAACGCAUUAAGUACUCCGCCUGG